AGACAGGUUGACAGCAUGAAAAAGAUGUACAAUGCCUUGCGAAAGAAAAUCAUCCAGAGCUUCCAUGACUGGUUUUGGCAGGCCACAUCGCAUGACAGAAAGGGUCGGAACAACUCCAGAGAUGCCGAGAACGGCUGGUCGUCCGAAGAAUCGACCCAACGCCUUUGGUGAAAAGAAUGAAACGCUGUGUCUGCAAAAGAUCGAAUCCAUCCUACUACAGGAACACCCACGCAAUACCUUUCAUAGAUCACACUUUGGUAGAGUGGGACCUCCGGUAUUGUGGUUGCCAUGGUGACAUAGAUGGAGGACCUUACAUACAGAACAUUGACGGAAGUGUUUUCAGAUUUGGAGCAUAGAGGGUUGUGUCUCAGUGGGAACGAUCAAAACCAUACAAAGAUGCAUACAGAUUGUAGAUGGACGUGUUCUCAGAUUUGGAGCAUAUCUGAUGUGUAUGUUAUCUUUUCCUUUUUUGUCACGAAUAUAUAAAGGCAACACUAGUUUGUUUGUGCUCUUACACACGUCUGUAUGCUUAGUUUAGCUGGACGUUUUGAAGAACAUUGAGAGCUAUUCUACGCACAUGGGCGUCGGAAUCACACCUCGGUUAAAACUUUAUUUGCAAGAUCAUAUCUCACUACCAUUGUAUGUAUUUACACAUCGCUCUACAAAAAUUGAACCAAGUUAGAUAACCCUUGUCUGAAUUUUAAACAAAAUCUGGCCUUUCUUCUACUUUAAAAUUUCGGUUUACAUUAUGUAUGCAAUAAUUAUCAAGCUAUAUCUCAGUAGCAUUAUAAAUCUUCGCACAAUGCUUCCCAGACUACUGCAAUAACUAAGUUGGAUAACUCUUGGUUGAAUUUGAAACAAGGUGUGGCCUUCUUUAGCUCCACUAUUCGGAUUAAAGUAAC